rnacentral:rRNA from 1 species
AUUGAACGCUGGCGGCAUGCUUUACACAUGCAAGUCGAACGGUAACAGGCCGCAAGGUGCUGACGAGUGGCGAACGGGUGAGUAAUGCAUCGGAACGUGCCCAGUCGUGGGGGAUAACUACUCGAAAGAGUAGCUAAUACCGCAUACGAUCUAUGGAUGAAAGCGGGGGAACGUAAGGCCUCGCGCGAUUGGAGCGGCCGAUGUCAGAUUAGGUAGUUGGUGGGGUAAAGGCUCACCAAGCCAACGAUCUGUAGCUGGUCUGAGAGGACGACCAGCCACACUGGGACUGAGACACGGCCCAGACUCCUACGGGAGGCAGCAGUGGGGAAUUUUGGACAAUGGGCGCAAGCCUGAUCCAGCAAUGCCGCGUGCAGGAAGAAGUCCUUCGGGUUGUAAACUGCUUUUGUACGGAACGAAACGGCUCUGGUUAAUACCCGGGGCUAAUGACGGUACCGUAAGAAUAAGCACCGGCUAACUACGUG